rnacentral:rRNA from 1 species
AUUGAACGCUGGCGGCAGGCCUAACACAUGCAAGUCGAGCGUAGCGUCGGACGGGUGAUUAAUGACUAUGAAUCUGCCUGGUCGUGUGGGAUAACGUCCGGCAACGGGCGCUAAUACCGCAUACUCUCAACUGAACCUCGGUCGGAUUAGCUAGUUGGUGGGGUAAAGGCCUACCAAGGCGACGAUCCGUAACUGGUCUGAGAGGAUGAUCAGUCACACGGGAACUGAGACACGGUCCAGACUCCUACGGGAGGCAGCAGUGGGGAAUAUUGGACAAUGGGCGAAAGCCUGAUCCAGCCAUGCCGCGUGUGUGAAGAAGGGCUUCGGAUUGUAAAGCACUUUAAGUUGGGAGGCGUUACCAACAGAAUAAGCACCGGCUAACUUCGUGCCAGCAGCCGCGGUAAUAC